GACGAACGCUGGCGGCGUGCUUAAAACAUGCAAGUCGAACGAUCCCUUCGGGGAUAGUGGCAAACGGCUGAGUAACACGUAGGUAACGUGCUCUCGAGUGGGGGAUAACUCCUCGAAAGAGGAGCUAAUACCGCGUACGCUCCCCCAUCCCCGGAUGGGUGAGGAAAGCAGUAAUGCGCUCGGGAAGCGGCCUGCGGCCGAUUAGCUUGUUGGUGAGGUAACGGCCCACCAAGGCUUCGAUCGGUAGCUGGUCUGAGAGGAUGAUCAGCCAGACUGGGACUGUGACACGGCCCAGACUCCUACGGGAGGCAGCAGUUAGGAAUUUUAGGCAAUGGGCGAAAGCCUGACCCAGCAACGCCGCGUGGGUGAUGAAGGCCUUCGGGUCGUAAAGCCCUUUUACAGGGGAAGAUAAUGACGGUACCCUGUGAAUAAGCCCCGGCUAACUACGUGCCAGCCGCCGCCGUAAGAC
rnacentral:rRNA from 1 species